rnacentral:rRNA from 1 species
GAUGAACGCUGGCGGCGUGCCUAAUACAUGCAAGUCGAGCGAACGGACGAGACUCUUGCUUCUCUGAUGUUAGCGGCGGACGGGUGAGUCAUACGUGGCUAACCUACCUAUAAGACUGGGAUAAGUUCGGGAAACCGGAGCUCAUACCGGAUCAUAUUUUGAACCGCAUGGUUCAUAAGAGACAGACGUCCUUGCUGCCACUUAUUGAUGGAUCCGCGCUGCAUUAGCUAGUUGGUAAGGUAACGGCUUACCAAGGCAACGAUGCAUAGCCGACCUGAGAGGGUGAUCGGCCACACUGGAACUGAGACACGGUCCAGACUCCUACGGGAGGCAGCAGUAGGGAAUCUUCCGCAAUGGGCGAAAGCCUGACGGAGCAACGCCGCGUGAGUGAUGAAGGUCUUCGGAUCGUAAAACUCUGUUAUUAGGGAAGAACAUAUGUGUAAGUAACUGUGCACAUCUUGACGGUACCUAAUCAGAAAGCCACGGCUAACUACGUG